UUAAUUCUAUACUAUGCCGUUUUAUCCUUUAUCCUAAGUCCUAUAUAGAUACAUUAAGUUCUAUAUCUACCCACUUUAAACCUAUUAUCUUGUUUUCUGGAAACUCAGCCAGAUUCAUUCUCCCAAAUUCCCUCUCAAUCUAAGGAAAAAGAAGAAGCUAGGGUUCCUCUGAGUUCUUCAAUUCACUAUUGAUCUUGGGCUUUGAGUAGAAAGGGUCUGACGCUCCUACCUCUCACACUCGUGAUUAGUUGAUUAUUCUAUCAAAUUCAAUACUGCGUGAGUCAUGUAUUACGAGGACCAUGAAAUUUUUACUUGCUUUAUGUCUUUCUAGUUUUUGGACUAUGUAUGUGGUGUAUGUGUUACAUCUCAACCACUUCUUAUGAUGUUUAGAUGGCUUGUUGAGAUUAUUUUGGAUUCUGUUUUAUCAAACUCUUUUAGAAUAUGAAAUGCUACUUUUGAAAUAUUUAUUUCUA